rnacentral:lncRNA from 1 species
ACAGGGAGAGGUGGAAAGGUUGGAGGAGCAGAUUCUGAAUCUGAACCAGAAAAAGGAGGAUCUGUUAGUGGACUUGAAGGCUGCUGUCCUGAACCUUCAUGAGCACCUGAAGCAAGAACGGCCAGGAGGAGAGAGGCCCUCUGCAGGCACUUCCGAGUGUACAGUGGCCGAGAGGGAUGCUUCAGAAAGGAAGCUGAACAGAACAAACUCCAUGUCUUUCCUGCCAGCGGUCAAGGAGGAGGCAGAAGAAAGCUCCGUGAAGA